AGCUCACCCUCGUACACUCCGGUUUUUCCGCGUCGUCCAUUCCCACCUGACGAUUGCUUGCGACGCUUUGUUCGCC
rnacentral:sRNA from 2 species